UGAAACAAGGGGAAGGCUCACAUAGAGGCAGCAGUAGGGAGUUUUGUGCAAUUUACGAAAGUAUGACCCAGGGAGCACACAAAAAAAUCCGUCAAAUUAAGUGCCAGCAGACGCGGUAAAACUUAAGGGGGGUCUUAAAAUAAAGGGGGCGAAAAGGAUGUGUAGGCAAUAAAAGCUAAGGGGUGGGUGGAAUUUUUCCGGAGGGGUGGAAUGCGGGGAUGGAAAAAAGAACCCCUACAGUUAAAACAACCCACCACACAGCUGAAACAUGAAAGUGUGGGUAGCAAACAGGAACCCAACCCUGGUAGUCCACCCCGGGAACAUAGAAGGGCGCUACUCGGCAGCCCGCUUCCGCCUGAGUAGUACGAUCGCAAGAUUAAAAUUCAAAAACUUUGGCAGUUCACCUAGUCAAUUCGAGGAGCGUGUAGUUUAAUUCGAUGGUCCGCGCGGGACCUCACCUUCACUUGAAUCUGCGACCGGUAUUGCAUGGCCGUCGUAAGCCCCUGUGUUAAGCUAAGGGGCCCAAUCCGAUUCGGAGGAAGUCAGGUCUUAUGGUCCGAAUGUGGGGGGAUAAAUGCGCUACAUUUUUUUCCACAAUGGGAGGCCCGAAGCGAACCCCCAAAGGAAAGUCCGGAAGGUCCCUGUAAACGACCAGAAGUUGUAUUGAAUAGUAAUCGGAAAGUAGAGCGUUUCGGUGAAUCGGCACUAGCGCAUGCACAAAUUGCCCGUCGCCUUUCCCUACAAGGGAAAGCAAGUCGUAACAU
rnacentral:rRNA from 1 species